rnacentral:rRNA from 1 species
CUCUUCUUGAAUAUAUUUUGAUGUAUGGCCUGCCCACUGAGUAUUAAAGGGCCGCGGUAUUUUGACCGUGCAAAGGUAGCAUAAUCAUUAGUCUUUUAAUUGUAGGCUGGAAUGAAUGGUUUGACGAGGUGUUAACUGUCUUUAAUUUUUUUUUAUUGAAUUUAAAUUUUAGGUUAAAAUGCCUAAAUAUUUUUUUGGGACGAGAAGACCCUAUAGAGUUUUAUAUAUUUUUAUUUUUUUGUGUGAUAAUUUUUGAUUUAAAAAUUUAUUUUGUUGGGGUGAUGGGAAGAUUGAAUUAACUCUUUUUGUUUUAUUAUAUUUAUUUAUAUGUAUUUGAUCCAUUUUUAUUGAUUAUAAGACUAAAUUACC